rnacentral:rRNA from 1 species
UACCCAGACUCCUACGGGAGGCAGCAGUGGGGGAUAUUGCACAAUGGGGGAAACCCUGAUGCAGCGACGCCGCGUGUGGGAAGACGGUCCUCUGGAUUGUAAACCCCUGUCCCCAGGGACGAAGAUGACGGUACCUGGGGAGGAAGCUCCGGCUAACUACGUGCCAGCAGCCGCGGUAAUACGUAGGGAGCAAGCGUUGUCCGGAAUUACUGGGUGUAAAGGGAGCGUAGACGGCAUGGCAAGCCAGAUGUGAAAUGCCGGGGCUCAACCCCGGGACUGCAUUUGGAACUGUUAAGCUGGAGUGUCGGAGAGGCAGGCGGAAUUCCUAGUGUAGCGGUGAAAUGCGUAGAUAUUAGGAGGAACACCAGUGGCGAAGGCGGCCUGCUGGACGAUAACUGACGUUGAGGCUCGAAAGCGUGGGGAGCAAACAGGAUUAGAUACCCGUGUAC